GUCUCCAAGCUUCAUCGGCCUUUCUCUCUCCACUCAAAGUCUGCGUCUCUCUAAGCUUUGUUAGCCUUUCCUUUGGCAUUGCAACUCACAUCUUCAAGUUUGAGAUUUCAAAAUUCCAUUCAACCUUGUUACAGCUACAUCCUCUUGAUCAGCAUUUGAAGACUAAAACCCGGUAUGGUCCAGUCAUGAACCCGGUCCAUCUAGUUUCUGGUUUGUCCCAAGUCAAACCAGAUCAUGGGUCUGAGUCAACAGCCCAAAGGUUUAUCAAACUAGACUUUGGGUUUGGGGCUAACUUGGUCUUUGUGCAACCCUAUUAACAUUAAGGGAGGCCUUGAAGCUGAGGUGGAAAUUUGUAGAUGCACAUGUUUGCUUUGAAGUUGAUUUUGAGGUACUGUAUAAGCACGUCCUAACAUCUCACUUCACAAUCUCCUGGCUAUUUAAGCAGUAAAUGGUAUGAUUCUU